rnacentral:tRNA from 1 species
GUCUCAGUAGCUCAGUUGGAUAGAGCGACCGCCUCCUAAGCGGUAGGCCGGGGGUUCAAAUCCCUUCUGGGACGCCA